UUAGGUCCUUACUUUCAAGUUUUAGCUCAGAUUCUAAGUUCAUUAACCAGUCUACAUUGGCAACUUACACUACGCAAACAUAGAUCCAACAUUAUGUAUAUAAGCUCAACAUCAAGACCGUGUCAUCAUCAGACUCCUUAUUUACUCAGUGUAGCAUAGCGAUCAAGCAGUCUCAAACUGUGAGAGGCAAACGAAUCAAUUCGAGUUCUUUAACCAUGCAUGGCGAACCUAACCUCACAACAUCCGCGCACCACCAAGGGUCGCUUUCUGUGUCGGCCAUCCCCAUCAAUUCCCUAACCCGUGUCGGG
rnacentral:lncRNA from 1 species